GAUGAACGCUGGCGGCGUGCCUAAUACAUGCAAGUCGAGCGAACGGACGAGAAGCUUGCUUUUCUGAUGUUAGCGGCGGACGGGUGAGUAACACGUGGAUAACCUACCUAUAAGACUGGGAUAACUUCGGGAAACCGGAGCUAAUACCGGAUAAUAUUUUGAACCGCAUGGUUCAAAAGUGAAAGACGGUCUUGCUGUCACUUAUAGAUGGAUCCGCGCUGCAUUAGCUAGUUGGUAAGGUAACGGCUUACCAAGGCAACGAUGCAUAGCCGACCUGAGAGGGUGAUCGGCCACACUAGAACUGAGACACGGUCCAGACUCCUACGGGAGGCAGCAGUAGGGAAUCUUCCGCAAAGGGCGAAAGCCUGACGGAGCAACGCCGCGUGAGUGAUGAAGGUCUUCGGAUCGUAAAACUCUGUUAUUAGGGAAGAACAUAUGUGUAAGUAACUGUGCACAUCUUGACGGUACCUAAUCAGAAAGCCACGGCUAACUACGUG
rnacentral:rRNA from 1 species